UGUUUCCUAGGCUACAAACGGAGGACUUGUUCCUUGUUCACUCGCCUAGGGGAAAGUCCCCGGACCUUGGGCAGAGAGUGCCACGUGUUCGCGCACGUAGACUAGUCCGCACUUCAUAAAUCCAUAUUUUCCCAAAUUUGUAUAAUAUUCAGUCAUGAAAAAAUGAAUAUGAAAUAACAUUUACCUUUUAUAAGCUAAUUACAUAUCUGCAAAUUUGUAAAUUAUGUAUCUGUAUCUGGUACUUGCUAUGAAAAUAUUAAAUUUAGUGACAUAUUCAAUUGUAUUACA
rfam:Fukomys damarensis contig127380, whole genome shotgun sequence.